AGGUCACGGCCGAGUCCAAAGUCCGGAGGAGUUCCGUUAUCCCCUCUUGCACAUGGCACUCUUGCUCUGCCCGCCAAGUUUCCACUCUCUCAUUCUCCGCUCCUUGGUCGCCAACCCCUCUCAUACUCCAUCCUUGGUCUCCUAACUCUCUUAUUCUCCCACAUUGGUCUCCAAACUGUCUUAUUCUCCAUCCUUGGUCUCCAAACUCUCUCAUACCUUAUCCUUAUUCUCUUUAUUCUCCAUCCUUGGUCUCCAAACUCUCGUUUUCUCCAACCGCUCCUCGCCGCGCCGUUACUACUCGAAUUCGCCGCGUAUCUGGUAAGUGGCCGGCCAUCUGUUUCUGCUGCUGCUUAGAUUUGUGGGAAUUUAAAAGCUCGUUCCUACUCUCCGGCGUUUGGUCACAUUAUCCGUGCGUGAUCGAUGUUUCAUCGACUAUCGACACCGACAGUGAGGCGUUGCCACCUGCCCGUUGCGAUAUUUCCACCUUUUGCCAAUGUUUCCAUUUUGCGUGUACCCAUCGAUCGCACUAUCGUCCAGUGACAAUCGACCGCCUACAAAUCGAGGCGCUCCCUUCCCUAGCUCAUGGUUAUUUUGCAACUUUCGUAGGUAAGUUUUCGCAUUUCUUUACUCCUUUCUAUCUUAUCCUUUCUCUUUCCUUUCGUCCUCUCUCGCCCUUCAAUCGUCCUUAGCCGGCUGCUCCUGGCUCCAUGCUGGCAACACUCGAGAGCGGGUGCGGAGAGGACUUCGCAUAUUGCUUCGCAACUGGGACAGCAGGUUGCUGGUGCGGCCCAUGUAUGCCCUUUUCUUGUUCCAGCAAUGUCCAAAAAUCAACUGCUUGGCCCCGUGCCUUUUCGGGAAUUCAUUCACGGCGGCGUGGCUAUAUAUCCUCUUGGAUUUUUUUGGUGACCCUCCGCUGACGCCUGGUCCUCUCUUAUGGGGUUGGUGGUCAGACGUUUGAAUAUGCGGUACGCCUUCUUCCGUUUGAGAGGUCCUGACUUUUUCGGUGGUUUUCUCUUAAACUCCUUGGCCCUGGUGCUUACCACAAGAUCAGCCAUGGCACUCCCCUCAGGUUGGAUUUGCUGGUUAGACGCCUCUGCGCUGGUGGGUGGUUUGGGCUGGACCUUGCGGCGUUCGGGGCUAGUCGGCGGCCUUGUCCGCCGACCCUCGCUGGUGUAGAUGUUGCUUGGAUGUGGGCUUUCGGUGCGACACCCACGCUCUUCUGGUCGUCGCCGGCUGCGACUUCCUACUUUGUAAGAGUGUCUAGUGUGAGAUCCGGUGUACCCGGGUAAGGCUGACUUAGAACAGGCGAUCGCCACUUGCCUGAGCCCACCGUUCGGGACUUUGUUAUUUGUUGACUCGGGCUCCCAGCCAGAUCGACUCUCGGCACGAUACGAGUGACACCUAAGUCCAGCCCUGGGUGAGAUGAAUGUGGGGGGAUAAUGAAGAGGUAGGUUUUGUUUGUGGGGAGGGGGGUGUGUGUGAGCUAUUUGUCGGAGGCGGCAGCACAAGCGCGACGUCGGUACUGCUACGGCGCAGGUACCCGCUGACUGUCCGGGACUACUUAUUUACGCUUGCGGGCCGUACCAACUUGCACGCUUACUGGUAGCUACCCUGGAGAACCAGGGCGCUCGUUAUCGGCAACCUUCGACCCGUUCUGUAGACUUCAGCUCGGCUCCAAGCCAUCCCACAAGCUUUUUGGCCGAAUACGACGACACACUUUAACGACAAGCGCCCUACAAUUAAGUUUCUUAAUGCCUCUUUUCUGUCAACUUUCCUUAACUGCUGACAGAUUUUUUCGACAAUUACUUAAGAACUGUCCUUUUUAAGGUCGGUUUUUUAUGCAUCACCUUUAUAACCUUACCGUGAGUAAGAGGAGAACAAGAAUAUACCGGUUUGGCAAGAUUACCUUGCCGAACUACACAGCUUAAGUGGUAGUUCAUUUUUCGGGUGAACCUUCAUAACUUUAACCAUUGUUUUGACCUAAUGACACAGUGUUUCAAUGUUUUAAAAAAUGACUCAAUUGGAGCGUUGCUGGGCCUUCUUUUUGUUAACAUCAAUAAAUAUCCCCUUAGCUUUUGUCUAAAAACCAUAUAUUUCCCAAAAUUAAAACUACCACUCCAGGAUGAUGAUAUAUGUUGGAUUGCAUUCUAGUUGCCCUGAUAUCUUUUCACUGAUAUCCAGCGUAUUGGACGUAUAUGUAGUUUUAAAUUCACUCUGACCUGCAAUGGUAUGCAAAGAAUCUCCUCUGCUUUUUAGAUUUAACACAGCAGAAACAUCAUGCUGACUCAAAUCAAAACUGGAAAAGCUAUUAUCUGAUAAUUAAGAGCAUACAUUAUUUUGGCAUAAUGACUUGUAAAAAAUGGAACGCAUACACUGGGAAAUAAGUUACUUCGCCCUAUAAAAAGCGGAAGCACAUUGUAUUGUAUGUAACAAUAUCUAGUUCGUUAAAUGGCUAAAUGGCUGAAUGGCGUAAAAUUGCCUGAAUAAAAGCGAUAUUUAUAUCGGU